rnacentral:rRNA from 1 species
UACGUAGGUGGCGAGCGUUGUCCGGAAUUACUGGGUGUAAAGCGCGUGUAGGCGGGAGGCCAAGUCUGCGGUGAAAUCGCUCGGCUCAACUGGGCGGGGUCCGUGGAAACUGGUCACCUGGAGGACGGUAGAGGCGAGUGGAAUUCCCGGUGUAGUGGUGAAAUGCGUAGAGAUCGGGAGGAACACCAGUGGUGAAGGCGGCUCGCUGGGCCGGACCUGACGCUGAGACGCGAAGGCGUGGGGAGUGAACGGG